GUAGAUAUUUACAGAAUCCCCUAACGUUUUUCGACGACGUCUUCUCUCGCGCUAUUGCUCGCCGACGAUUUUGGCGCGGCGGAUUCUGUGUCAUAUUCCCACUGUCGAAGAUCGUUGUGUUCGCCGCCAAUUUGGAAAAAAGCAUCGAUCGAUUAACCUAAGUUUCCGCGUCUUGCGUGGUUCCGAAGGAACCGAGUCAACUCAAGUCCAGUCGAAUCUGGUCUUUCUGCAACAGACUUCUUCCACGGUGACCGGAAUCUAGGGUUUCGUUUGAAGCUGGAGCACUUCCCGACCCAAUUAAUAUUCUCACGUUUUUCAGGUAGUCUUUAUCAAUCUUUGAGGGAAGGGAACGAUAAUUUGUUCCACGGUCAUGGUCACUGCUGAGUUUGUUUAAUGCAAUCCAAUGAGUUGAGAGAGUGAGAGCAUGGCAAGACAGCUGUCCCAGAAUCGUCUUGAGAACGGCAAUCCAGGAAAUACACCUAGCCUUUGUGUGCAGGAAGAGCAUCUGAUCUCUGCACGCAAAUGGUAUUUCUGUAAACAGGAAAUUGAAAAUCAUUCUCCAUCCAGGAAGGAUGGAGUGGAUUUCAAGAAAGAGUCUCAACUGCGGAAGUCAUAUUGCUCAUUUAUUCAAGAGCUUGGCAUGAAGCUGAAAGUGCCUCAAGUAACAAUUGCAAGUGCAAUGAUGGUGUGCCACCGAUUCUAUAUGCUUCAAUCCCAUGCUAAAAAUGACUGGCAGACAAUUGGAACAGCAGGUAUGUUCCUUGCCUGUAAGAUUGAAGAGACACCACGGUUUCUGAAUGAUGUUGUUGUUGUGGCUUAUGAGUUGAUAUACAAAUGGGAUCCUUCUGCUACAAAAAAAAUUAGACAAAAAGAAGUAUUCAACAAAAAAAAGGAAUUAAUCUUGAUUGGGGAGAGGCUUCUAUUGUCAACCCUUGCAUUUGAUGUUGAUAUUCAGCUUCCCUACAAGCCACUUGUUACUGCUCUAAAGAGAUUGGGACUGGAUGCUGAUCUUUGGAAGGUGGCCUGGAAUUUUGUAAAUGAUUGGCUUUGUACAACAUUGUGCUUGGAGUACAAACCCCAUUAUAUUGCUGCUGGUUCGAUAUUCCUUGCUUCCAAAUUUCAAAAAGUGAAAUUACCUUCAGAGAAAGGAAAAGUUUGGUGGAUGGAGUUUGAUGUUUCGCCAAAACAGUUACAAGAGGUCAUACAGCAAAUGUUGAAGUUAUUUGAGAAAGACAGAAAACAAAGCCUGCCACCUUCUAAAAAGAAGACUCAUCAGCCCGAAGUUUUAGAUGGACAGACAAGGGUUGAUAGCUCCCAAUCAUGUGUAUCCAGCGUGUCAAUUUCUGAUCAGCUUGAUAGUCAUGAUGUCAUGGCGGAGGCCAGUGACUGCAACAAGUCUGUAAUGCCUAAUUGUUGCCACAAUCAGGAAAAUAUAAAUUACUGCAUCAGUCCGGUGGAAGUUUUACCCUGCCAGACAAGUGAUGCUGGGAGUUCAAGUAGUGUCAUUGACAAUGGUGAUACUGGGAUUUGCCGGAGCACUGAGGACAAUUAUCCUGAUCAGAUCACACAAUCAACAACUGUUUCUAUUUCUGCUUCUAAUGACUACAAUAAGAUAAACUUCAGCCGAAUCAGAGAGACAAUAAAGAGAAGAAAACUUUGUAGAGCUACAAAUAUAAAGGAAGUACAACCCAUGAGCCCAGAUGUUGACAGCGAAGCAUGGAUAGAAAAGGAGCUGGAACAUGGAAUAGAGCUAGAAUAUGAAUCCUCAUUGAAGAAGAAAAGAAAGGCAUCUUGAAGUUGGGAAUGCAAUUCUAUUUACUGAUAAAGUAUCGUCAAAAUUUUUCUUGUCGGAGCAUUUGAUUAAUUCCAGAAAUUCUUCUAACUGCCAGAGGAGGAGAUAGUCAAGCCUGAUGAAACACCUAUGGUCCUGAAUAGCUAAGAUUAAUGAGCGUUUGCUGAUUGGGCCUCAGAAAAUAUUCUUUCUUCCUUUUCACUUUCAGAGAUCGAUCGUUCAUAGUGCUGUAGUGGACUAGUAGUGGGACUCACUGAGGACUAUUUCAUCUCACUCUCACCAACUUUUCUCUCAAAACCUUCCUCUCUCUCUUCUGGCAAAAGUGAACCACUUAGAAGCACAGCAGGUUUGCGUAUUGAGUGUGAAAUCCUUUAUCCUUGAACAAACAUAGUAAUUGGAUUACGUUGGUCAGAAAAACGACACCACCAUAGUUAUGAAAGAAAAUAAAGCCGGAUUAGAUUAUAGACAAGGCUAAGAAAAGUGGUGUCAAAGCAUUGAGACACGAAGCUUUAGUGUGGGGAUGCAUAAAGAUAUCAAUCAUGUACAUGGCUACCCAUGUCCUUCCAUUGCCACUAUUAUACAAACCUGAUAGAUAGCAAGGAGGUCAGGAAUCAAAUUGUAUGAGGCAACGCUUUUAGCUUCUUUGGCGCUUGUGUUAAAAAGAAGAAAAAGGUGGGGGGGGGUCGUGGUUAUGGAAAGGCAUACCCAGGCAAGGUUUGGAUUUCAUCCCCCUUUCUUGAGAAAGCGUACUCUCUCUCUCUCUCUCUCUCUCUCUUUCUUUCUUUUUUGGUUCAAAUGGUUUGUCUCUUCCCAACACCUUUAAAUCUUGUUUGCUUUAAACCUCCUUUUAAAAACCAUGGAGAAAAAGACUUUUGACUCAAAUAGUUCAUGUAUUGAAGUUGAAAAGGAUGGUCAAAUAAUUGGACUAAUGAGAUUUUGUUGCAGGGAAUAAGAAACUGAAACAAUGGUGAAGCAGAACCUUAAGCUGAAUGCUAUUUUAUUUUGCUUUCAUGUGUCAAAACUAAAUUAAUGUCACCACAUUCUUCUGAGUAGGUAUGAACAUUGUGAAACUCACCAGUGAAGGACCAUAGAGAGAAGAAAAGGCAAGCUUGCUGGAAGUAUCAAACUAUAGAAGAACUCUGCAGCUUUGUGCCUAUACCUUAGAGCAAGCCAGUGAGUUUAACUACGCCAGUGAGUUUAACUGUCUCUAACAUAGAAUUUCUUUUAUCAUUGUUUAUCUGUCUGCCACUGCCUGUUUGGGAUUUAGAAGAGAAAGUAGUGGUAGAAGAAAAGUAGAAUUGGUAUCUAGAUUAGUAUGAAAAAUGUGGACUGAAUUUUGAAAUCACUUCAUUCAUAGAACAGGAAUAAGAAAGAGACCCCAACUAAUUUAUGUUCAUAUGAAUAAUUGUAGAACAACCCUAAACUAUUUGUAAAUUCAUCAAGGAUACUUGUUUUUUGAUUC